CCGGGCUCCUGCUCCUGUCGACGUGGGUCCUCGCGGGCGCCGAGAUCGCUUGGGGCACGACGGGCGGUCCCAGGCACCUCCGGGCUGCGGGUUCGCGGCCACCGGCGCUUCCUCUCCUCUUGCCGCGGGCAGUGGCGAGCCAGUGGCCGGAGGAGCCGGCGACCGCGCGGAGAGCAGCUUCGCCGGAGCGCCUGCCAGGCGGCGAGAUGCGGGCGGAAGCCGCGGGGACGUCGCCUCCAGGCGCGCCGUGGGUCCAGGGCGUCCCGGCACCCGGCAAGCUGGGCGGCGCGAGGAGGAGUCGCCGGGCGCAGCCCCCCAGCGCCCUGGAGCGCGGAGACACCCGGGCCCCUGCCACGGCCGAUGGCUCCAAAGGAAGCCGCCCUCUGGCCCAGGGUCCUCGGGAGGAGGUGCGCGCUGCGCGGACUGGGGGCUCGGCCGCCGAGGAGCUCCGUCUGCCCAGCACCUCGUUCGCGCUGACCGGGGACUCGGCCCACAAUCAAGCCAUGGUGCACUGGUUCGGGCACAACAGCAGCGUCAUUCUGAUCCUGACGAAGCUGUACGACUUCAACCUGGGAAGCGUGACUGAGAGCUCUCUGUGGAGGUCAACAGAUUACGGCACCACCUAUGAAAAGCUGAAUGACAAAGUGGGUUUGAAGACUGUUCUCAGUUACCUCUACGUCAAUCCCACCAACCAAAGGAAGAUCAUGCUUCUUAGUGAUCCUGAGAUGGAGAGCAGCAUAUUGAUCAGCUCAGAUGAAGGAGCAACCUAUCAAAAGUAUCGGCUUACCUUCUACAUCCAGAGCCUACUCUUUCAUCCCAAGCAAGAGGACUGGGUGCUGGCAUACAGUUUGGAUCAAAAGCUCUACAGCUCCAUGGACUUUGGAAGACGGUGGCAACUCAUGCAUGAACGCAUCACGCCUAACAGGUUUUACUGGUCGGUGGCUGGACUGGACAAGGAGGCAGACCUGGUGCACAUGGAGGUGCGCACCGCGGAUGGAUACGCUCACUACCUCACCUGCAGGAUCCAGGAGUGUGCCGAGACAACUCGGAGUGGCCCCUUUGCCCGCUCCAUUGACGUCAGCUCUCUGGUUGUCCAGGAUGAAUAUAUCUUCAUUCAGGUCACAACAGGUGGAAGAGCCAGCUACUACGUGUCCUAUCGGAGAGAGGCCUUUGCUCAGAUAAAGCUGCCCAAGUACUCCUUGCCGAAGGACAUGCACAUCAUCAGCACAGAUGAGAACCAAGUGUUCGCGGCCGUCCAAGAGUGGAACCAGAACGACACCUACAACCUCUACAUCUCAGACACACGAGGGAUCUACUUCACGCUGGCCAUGGAGAACAUUAAGAGCAGCCGAGGUCAAAUGGGAAACGUCAUCAUUGAGCUGUAUGAGGUAGCAGGUAUCAAAGGGAUAUUCCUGGCAAACAAGAAGGUGGAUGAGCAGGUGAAGACAUACAUCACGUACAACAAAGGCAGGGACUGGCGCCUGCUGCAAGCUCCAGAUGUGGACCUGAGAGGAAGUCCAGUCCACUGCCUGCUGCCCUUCUGCUCUUUACACCUGCACCUACAGCUUUCUGAAAACCCAUAUUCUUCAGGAAGGAUCUCCAGCAAGGAGUCAGCCCCAGGACUUGUGGUGGCCACAGGCAACAUUGGUCCGGAGCUCUCCGAUACUGAUUUUGGUGUGUUCAUCUCCUCUGAUGGUGGAAACACAUGGAGACAGAUCUUUGAUGAAGAGUACAAUGUCUGGUUCCUAGACUGGGGUGGCGCCCUGGUAGCCAUGAAACAGAGACCUCUGCCUGUAAGGCAUUUGUGGGUGAGUUUUGAUGAGGGCCGCUCCUGGGACAAGUAUGGUUUCACUCUGCAUCCGCUCUUCGUGGACGGGGCGCUGGUGGAGGCUGGAUUGGACACCCACAUCAUGACAGUUUUUGGCCACUUCAGCCUCCGCUCCGAAUGGCAGUUGGUGAAAGUGGACUACAAAUCCAUCUUUAGCCGGCGCUGCACCAAGGAGGACUAUCAGACAUGGCACCUGCUCAAUCAGGGAGAACCUUGUGUUAUGGGAGAAAGGAAAAUAUUCAAGAAACGGAAGCCGGGAGCUCAGUGUGCCCUGGGCCGUGACUACUCAGGGUCCGUGGUCUCAGAACCCUGUGUCUGUGCUGACUGGGACUUCGAGUGCGACUAUGGCUAUGAGAGACAUGGAGAGAGCCAGUGUGUUCCUGCAUUCUGGUAUAAUCCAGCAUCCCCCUCAAAGGACUGCAGCCUUGGGCAAAGUUACCUUAACAGCACUGGGUACCGGAGAAUUGUGUCCAACAACUGCACAAAUGGACUAAGAGACAAGUAUUCUGCCAAGGCCCAGAUGUGUCCUGGAAAAGCCCCUCGGGGCCUCCACGUGGUGACAAAUGAUGGGCGCCUGGUGGCAGAGCAGGGACACAAUGCAACCUUCAUCAUCCUCAUGGAGGAGGGUGAUCUCCAGAGGACAAAUAUCCAGCUUGACUUUGGGGAUGGGAUUGCUGUGUCCUAUGCUAACUUCAGCCCCAUCGAGGAUGGCAUCAAGCAUGUCUAUAAGAGUGCAGGGAUCUUCCAGGUGACAGCCUAUGCAGAGAACAACCUUGGUUCGGAUACCGCUGUCCUUUUCCUGCAUGUGGUUUGUCCCGUGGAGCAUGUUCAUCUCCGAGUUCCAUUUGUCGCCAUCAGAAAUAAAGAGGUCAACAUCAGUGCAGUUGUGUGGCCGAGUCAGCUGGGAACCCUCACCUACUUCUGGUGGUUUGGCAACAGCACCAAGCCCCUCAUCACCCUGGACAGCAGCAUUUCCUUCACGUUCCUGGAGGAGGGAACCAGCACCAUCACGGUCCAGGUGGCUGCUGGGAACGCCCUCAUCCAGGACACAAAAGACAUUGCAGUUCAUGAAUACUUCCAGUCUCAGCUCUUAUCCUUCUCUCCCAACCUGGAUUACCACAAUCCUGACAUUCCUGAGUGGAGGCAGGAUAUUGGCAACGUCAUCAAGAGAGCUCUGGUUAAAGUCACCAGUGUCCCAGAAGAGCAGAUCCUUGUCGCCGUGUUCCCUGGCCUCCCCACCUCUGCGGAGCUUUUCAUCCUUCCACCCAAGAAUUUGACGGAGAGGAGGAAAGGCCACGAGGGGGAUCUGGAACAGAUUGUAGAGACUUUGUUCAAUGCUCUGAAUCAGAACUUGGUCCAGUUUGAGCUGAAGCCAGGCGUCCAGGUCAUUGUGUAUGUCACACAGCUGACAUUAGCCCCGCUGGUGGACACUAGUGCUGGACACAGCAGCUCAGCCAUGCUUAUGCUCCUGUCCGUGGUGUUCGUUGGCCUGGCUGUAUUUCUGAUCUACAAGUUUAAAAGGAAAAUUCCCUGGAUUAACAUCUAUGCUCAAGUUCAACACGACAAGGAGCAGGAGAUGAUCGGGUCAGUGAGCCAAAGUGAAAACGCCCCCAAAAUUACUCUCAGUGACUUCACCGAGCCUGAAGAACUGAUGGACAAAGAGCUGGACACCAGAGUCAUAGGAGGCAUUGCCACCAUUGCAAACAGCGAAAGCACAAAGGAGAUCCCCAACUGUACGAGUGUUUAACACCCACCGGCCACGUGUUCAGCCACCUUUCUGACAUUUUAUUUUUGAUGACUUUAUUAUUAUUAUUAUUAUGGAAAAUUGAAAAUGUCUUUUUUACCUUUUGUUUACCAAGGGCCCCCCCCCUUAUAAAUAGCAGGCAGAUACUUAAAUUUGGGGAAAAGGGGCAGUCUUAGGUGAUGAAAAUGAGUCAAAAGGAAUAAAUGACUAUAUCCGUGCUAGGGGCAAAGGAUGCAUCUUCCCACAGCCUCCUUACUUUACUCAGCCAUUGGGAGUGCGGAGACUCCCCUUCUCUCUCUCUCUCAUUUUAAAUUGGAAGUUGGGUUGGUAUUUUGUUAAGUCCUAACUCCUAGGCUCCCACCCAAAUCACCAUCACUCCCUUGACCCGCCCCCAGCACAUACGUAAACAAUACGCACCGUUUCCCAGGUAGAGCUGCAAGAGGUAGGUUGGUGGGGUAUGGACAGGGCUGCAGAGAGUGUGCACACCUUUGUGAAAGAGGCCCUGCCUCGUGCAUGUCAAUAGUGAGGCUGCAGAUGGCUUAUUGUAAAUAAUGACAAUGUAAAUAGCUUUUUAUUUCCUAAGAAAUAAUUUAAUGUUUAGUAAAAAAGAAAACAGAAAAAAGAAUGAUGCGUGUGGUGGCUUUCGCACUCACCCUCCAAGUUGACCCACCCUGCUGACCCAGGCCUGUUUGAUGCGUUGGACUCUGGAUACUUGCCAGCUGUCUGUCACAUUUAACUACCCCAUCUCCACAUCCACGCCAUAGCUGGUUUCUGCUAAGUAUAUAAUGGGAGGUGCGGGGAGAGGGCUUCAUUGGGGCAGUUGGUGCAGAAAGGACUUCACUGACAUCAGAGGACCUGGGAGCCAUUUUUUUUUCAACAGUUGCAGUUGCAUGCAGGAAGUUGCAAGAUGAGGCCCAGAACUGAAUGUUUUAAACUGCAACCCAGAGGGGGUGGUGCAGCUUCUGCCCUAAGACGAGAACUUGAGAAUAUUAGACUGAAAUUUUUUUUUAACUCUAAAAAUCCAGGCAGUGGAUCUAAAGCUGUUGAAAUGUGAAAUGCUCAUGGCAAACUAUGGUCUUUCCUGAGCUCAGGUCCUUCGGGCACAAGGUUCAGUCCAGGCGGUGUCUGUUAGCAUGAGAAGCAUUAGAGAGGUCCAAGGAAGGUGGCAUUUGUGGAAUCUCAAGUCUACACAAACCCUUUAGGCCAAAGGGAGGUCUAGCCUUUCCUGAUAUUAGUCAAAGACAAUUUUAGCAAAGCUGUGCUAUUUGCCUGUCAGAUGUACACAACUUCCUUAAAGUCAAAUGUCUGCCUUCAGUUCCCUUAAGGUAGUUAUUGCCCCUGGAGUGAGUAGCUUUCCAAGCUGAUACUUGCUUUGCUGGGCCCUCAGCCCUUUCACAUAUUUAGCAUACCAGUUCUUUUCCAUAGAGAUACUUAAGCCCACGCAGUGAUCUUUGUUUCUAUUUUUAUUUUUAGGGUCCACCUGAUCACACUUGUUUUAAAGAAUGGUAUCAUAUAUAUAUUAUAUAUGGAAAGGCCACAUUUUGUACCUGCUAAUUUCUGUGGGAUGUCACUGGCAUUCCUCUUCAUGAGACCAAGGGAGCACGUGACAGAGAGAGACCUGGCUAGGUACAGCACAGCUCAGUGUGAAAAGUAUCUCUACAGACCCCGCUUUUUUGUUUCAAGGGUUAAAUGGAGCAGACAAUUGCAAUACUUGUACUAAACACUGGAAUACAAAUGCAUGAGUCAUAUCUAUAUAUACAGUAUAUGUACAUAUACUGUUCUUGGUUUUAUUGUUCCAUUUGAAUAUUUCUACUGUAAAAAAGACAGUGGUUUUGAAAUUGUUGAAAAUAAAUGUAUUUUUGUACCUCAAACCUACGUACUUGGCUGAACUUUCUCUCUGUGCGAUUUUCAUUACCUGUUGUAUCCAUCACA
rnacentral:lncRNA from 1 species